AUUGAACGCUGGCGGCAGGCUUAACACAUGCAAGUCGAGCGAGCGGCGGACGGGUGAGUAAUGUCUGGGAAACUGCCUGAUGGAGGGGGAUAACUACUGGAAACGGUAGCUAAUACCGCAUACCAUCAGAUGGGCCCAGUUGGGAUUAGCUAGUGGGGGGGGUAAUGGCUCACCUAGGCGACGAUCCCUAGCUGGUCUGAGAGGAUGACCAGCACCGCUGGAUCUGAGCUCCGGUCACGACUCCUACGUGGGUCAGCGGGGGGGAUUUUUGCCGAAUGGGCGCAAGCCUGAUGCAGCCAUGCCGCGUGUGUGAAGAAGGCCUUCGGGUUGUAAAGCCCUUUCCGCGAGGAGGCGUUACUCGCAGAAGAAGCACCGGCUAACUCCGGGCCAGCAGCCGCGGUAAUA
rnacentral:rRNA from 1 species